UUAUAAGAGACAGCAGCAGCCGCGGUAAAACGUAGGUGGCAAGCGUUGUCCGGAAUUAUUGGGCGUAAAGGGCUCGCAGGCGGUUUCUUAAGUCUGAUGUGAAAGCCCCCGGCUCAACCGGGGAGGGUCAUUGGAAACUGGGAAACUUGAGUGCAGAAGAGGAGAGUGGAAUCCCACGUGUAGCGGUGAAAUGCGUAGAGAUGUGGAGGAACACCAGUGGCGAAGGCGACUCUCUGGCCUGUAACUGACGCUGAGGAGCGAAAGCGUGGGGAGCGAACAGGAUUAGAUACCCCUGUAGUCCCUGUCUCUUAUAA
rnacentral:rRNA from 1 species